rnacentral:rRNA from 1 species
GAUGAACGCUCGCGGCGUGCCUAAUACAUGCAAGUCGAGCGAAUGGAUUAAGAGCUUGCUCUUAUGAAGUUAGCGGCGGACGGGUGAGUAACACGUGGGUAACCUGCCCAUAAGACUGGGAUAACUCCGGGAAACCGGGGCUAAUACCGGAUAACAUUUUGAACCGCAUGGUUCGAAAUUGAAAGGCGGCUUCGGCUGUCACUUAUGGAUGGACACGCGUCGCAUUAGCUAGUUGGUGAGGUAACGGCUCACCAAGGCAACGAUGCGUAGCCGACCUGGGAGGGUGAUCGGCCACACUGGGACUGAGACACGGCCCAGACUCCUACGGGAGGCAGCAGUAGGGAAUCUUCCGCAAUGGACGAAAGUCUGACGGAGCAACGCCGCGUGAGUGAUGAAGGCUUUCGGGUCGUAAAACUCUGUUGUUAGGGAAGAACAAGUGCUAGUUGAAUAAGCUGGCACCUUGACGGUACCUAACCAGAAAGCCACGGCUAACUACGUGCCAGCCGCCGCCGUAA